AUUUAAUCGUUGAGAGGGACUAUUAGAGCGGUGCUGUUUUCAGAGACCACGUGACGCUGCAAACGUGGAGCAGUUACUUUUCGAACUCGUCCUCGAAGAUUUUUUACUGAAAUCAAGAGUAGGUAAAAACGUGGAUUCGCGUUACGGAUACUAAGAGCUACAUUUUGUAGAACAUGGGUGGUACCGCGGAGUCAUUCGUCCUGUAG
rnacentral:ncRNA from 1 species